GUCUAACCUGCCCACUGAUUUUUUAACGGCCGCAGUAUUUUGACUGUGCAAAGGUAGCAUAAUCAUUAGUCUUUUAAUUGAAGGCUUGUAUGAAUGGUUGGACGAGAUAUUAACUGUUUCAAAUUAAUUUAUUAUAAAACUUUAUUUUUUAGUCAAAAAGCUAAAAUUCAAUUAAAAGACGAGAAGACCCUAUAAAUCUUUAUAAUUUAAUUAAUUUUAAUUUAAUAGAUUAUUUUUAUUAUUAUUAAUUAAAUUAUUUUAUUGGGGUGAUAUUAAAAUUUAAAAAACUUUUAAUUUUUUAAGUCAUUAAUUUAUGAAUAAUUGAUCCUAUAAUAUGGAUUAACAGAAUAAGUUACUUUAGGGAUAACAGCGUAAUUUUUUUGGAGAGUUCUUAUCGAUAAAAAAGAUUGCGACCUCGAUGUUGGAUUAAGAUAUAAUUUUAGGUGCAGAAGCUUAAAUUUU
rnacentral:rRNA from 1 species